rnacentral:rRNA from 1 species
GACAGAGGGGGCAAGCGUUGCUCGGAAUCACUGGGCGUAAAGGGCGCGUAGGCGGGAUGGCAAGUCAGUCGUGAAAUCUCUCGGCUCAACCGAGAAACGUCGGCUGAUACUGCCGUUCUUGAGGGAUGCAGAGGAGACUGGAAUUCCCGGUGUAGCGGUGAAAUGUGUAGAGAUCGGGAGGAACACCGGUGGCGAAGGCGGGUCUCUGGGCCGAUACUGACGCUGAGGAGCGAAAGCGUGGGGAGCGAACAGG